GUGGUUGAGUCCUAUUGCAAGUCCAUGGGAACCAGACAACUUCAGGCUUUUCCUCAGCUCUGCCCUGCAUUCCCAUCAGGAGACUUCAUGUGACGAUAAGCAACCAAGAUCUUCUUGCAGCUCUUCCUCUGAGUUCCUGUUUCUGCAUCUAAAGUAUUCCAUACCCUCUGAGUUAGAAUAAAUGCAGUCACCUUCACCUUCAAGAAACUUCUAGAUGGAAAGAGAUUCAACCGCUCCUUUGAUCACUUAGUCUU